CAACCCUCAAGCCCCCGGGCUUGGUGUUGGGGCUCGGCCCGUCCCUAGCGGCGCGCCGUCCCCGAAAUCUAGUGGCGGUCUCGCUGAAGCCUCCUCUGCGUAGUAGCUAACACCUCGCAACGGGAACUCAGCGCGGCCACGCCGUUAAACCCCCCACUUCUGAA
rnacentral:misc_RNA from 1 species